GGGCAAUUGGGCACAUAUACUAAAAUUAGAACGAUACAGAGAAGAUUAGCAUGGCCCCUGUGCAAGGGUAACAUGCAAAUUCAUGAAGCGUUCUGUAUUUUU
rfam:Alligator mississippiensis ScZkoYb_61, whole genome shotgun sequence.